rnacentral:tmRNA from 1 species
GGUAAAAAUAUAAACGGCGAAAAAGAACUCGCUCUCGCUGCAUAAUAAAUAUAGCGCGACGUUCGACUUGUUUUAAAUCCGGCGAAACAGGAUCGAGCGACGAAAGUCCGGAUUGCGACCCGAAAUUCGACCAGUGUUCCGGGAGUAAGAAAUAAGCUGGCUAUGUUAAUAUGCUCUGUUCGCCAGUCAACAAGUUUAUUAACUAAAGAAUGACUGGAUAUGCCCGUAGACGUUGAAGUACGAACUGAAUUGGACGGGGAGUUCGACCCUCCCCCGUCUCCACCA